CUGGCAAGACCCGGUUCGAAUCCGGCUCGGAGCAGAUCCGGUAGGACCGGAUGCAAUUGGUGCCGUGACCCGGAUGGGAGUGCGGUUUAAGGGGCUGACUGAACAUUCCUGGCUGAAAUCACACAACCUCUGUGUUCAUCACAGAACAAGCAUGGCAUCCUGUGGAUUUUGUUUAGGGGUGUAAGCAAAUUCCUGGUCCUGGUCCAGUUGUGUAACCUUGUAUGAUCAAGGAGAGGCAUCUUCAAAGAACGCAGUGAAAGAAGAGCAACGGGCUGGAACAUUGCACAGGUUUGGAUGUCACUAUAAGCACGACUCGCCCUGCAAACAUGAUGAGUGUAAAAUCACGAUGGGCUUUAUUUAAGAAUAAAAAUGUCACCAUUUGCUCACACUCACAUCGACACACCCGUAACAAUGAAAGUGGAUGGGGACCAGCUGUCAAGCUCCGAAAGACUAUUCUAUAUAAAAGUACUAUACAUCCACUAGUCAUGCAACAGCUUAGAAAUAGACCAAUGAUGUUAUUUAAUAAAAUCUUGCAUUACUUGACAUCUGUGGUCACAGUGAAAAGAGCUUGGAUGGUAAAUAACUCAUUUUUGUUCUAUGGAGAGAAAAACAGACAUUAUAAAGUAUGGGAAAAUUUAUGAGAAACUGUAAACAGAAAGACUUGACAUGCAGACCAGUGUUUGAUUUUGAGAACCUUGAGUUUUGGUUUAUAAUUAACACCAGAGGACAGAACUAUGACACACUAUGAAACGUUCACUUUCUCCGGAUUACCUAGACUACUGAAAGAAGCAAAAACUGUUAAACAUUAGACACUAAACUGCACAGACGAAUGACUUCUCGAAGGGUGAUAAAUUCAGAAGCAAAUGACUUUGUUUGGGUUUGCUGGAACUGGGAAUUCGAGCAACUGUUUGCAAAGUUGACUGUAGGGCACUGCCAUGAUUUCACUCACUCAGGAAAAACAUUUUAGCGUGAUAAAGAAGAGAUUUAAACCGAUAAACCCUUCACGGUAAAACCUACGGAGGCGUAUUGCAU